rnacentral:misc_RNA from 1 species
GGACUACAGGGGUAUCUAAUCCUGUUUGAUCCCCACGCUUUCGUGCCUCAGCGUCAAUAUAUGCGUAGUAAGCUGCCUUCGCAAUAGGUGUUCUAUGUCAUAUCUAAGCAUUUCACCGCUACAUGACAUAUUCCGCUUACCUCCACAAUAUUCAAGACAGAUAGUAUCAAUGGCAGUUCUAGAGUUGAGCUCUAGGAUUUCACCACUGACUUACCUGCCCGCCUACGCACCCUUUAAACCCAGUGAAUCCGGAUAACGCUUGCACCCUCCGUAUUACCGCGGCUGCUGGCAC